CAUUUAAUAUUUAAUAUUUAUUCUGAUGUGCUUUUUUUUUUGCAGCCCAACAGGACCAUCACAAUACUGCAAAAGUUCAUCGUCUCCGCGACCUCGAAACAUCUCGCGACUCUUCAGGUCAUCUCGGUCGCGGCUCCAAAUGAUCUUUGGUGGUCUAACCGCGAUUGCCUCCCUCCAUUGUCGUGACCAAGCUUCUUUCGCGGCGUGAGCCCGCGUGAUCGUUUCACCGCCGCGGCCUCCUAAACUCGCGACCAGAAGCCACAGUGUCUCCUAGCUUCCAAAAGUCGUCGAUCUCACUUCCAAUUGCAGAAUAUCUCAAACUGCGGCAGCCAAUCUGUGAUUUGUCCUUCAUCAAAGCGACGAUCCAAAUCCCGUGAAGAGCUUGAGAAUGGCUGAUCUAAGUGUGGAAGACACUCGAUCUAAUUGUCUUCAGAGUUCUUCAUUCCCUUCAUCUCUCUGGCGACCAAAAUUUGGAAACGUUACGUUACCUAUACACCCUCAUUACAAAGCAGCUGUUCUUCCUAUGUCGAGGUGUGUUUGCUCUGAUUCUGGGAAGUUCGAAACGUCAAACGCGGUGGUCCUUGAUUCGAUGGUUUUUCCGAUCUCUCCGAAGUAAAGCAUCUCAACUUUAAAAUUUGUUCUUGAACGGAGAACUUGGGAGAGGUUGGUGUUACCUUCUACCCUCGAUGACGUUGCUCAGAUAAGAAGAACACAUGGAUGAUGGAUCUGAAUGAGAAUCUUUACUUCGGAGAGCAAGACAGAAACCAUAAAGGGAUUAUGGUUUUGGGGCAUUGGGAAAAAUGCUAUUGAUGAAGCAGAUGUAAUGAUUACUUUUGUAUUGAGGGUGUUGAAGAAAUCAAGUGGCAAACAUACACGGGAGAACUCACACCAACGCAAGAAAAAACUAAGGAGAAAGUAUUGAAACUGUUGGAUAAGGUUUUGAAGACUCACAUGACAUGGCCUCCCCAAUGCCACCAAGAUACUGUGUUUUCGGGAUUCAGUUUCACUUCUCUCACGCAUAUUAGAUCACCACUAGCUAAUUUUUUUGAUUAGCUAGAAAGAUAGAGUUCAACACCCGAUGGUGGGUACAGAGUAGAGAUUACAUGCUGAUUUAGCAAGACGAUCAGCAAUAAGUAAUAACAUUAUCAAGUCUUGGAACAAAAGAGAAAGAGAUAGAUUCAAAGGAACUACUCAACAUUGAUAUAUCAUGGAGGUACGACUUAUGAUUAAACUCUCAAGUUAGGAUGUACAUUUCUAAUUUUCCAGACACUACUGUGUAUAGUUUGGUAUGUAUUGUCUUUCUAUUAUUUCUCUGUGUUCCCCUCCAUCUCAAGAUGCGCUUGCAGCUGAUGGAAGCAAAUAGUUCCACGGGCUUACUCUGAAGGCAGAAGUUGUGAAAGGUUUAGGACGGAACACAGUGCAAGAAAGUCGAAACAAAAGAAGGUCAAGGAUCUUAUCACCAGGGCCUAUAGAGGCAUAAACUUCCUUUAACACAAUAUUCGAGCCGAGAACAGCAAGCCCGUGGGACAUAAAUCUGAGGUCUACAGGCUGAAAUGGUCUCACGGUGAUACAAAGAAUGAAUCCGGAGGCAAAUUAAAUCAGCUCAUCUGUAACCUUAGCUGAAGCUCUACAAUUUAUUUGUUCCAUUUGUGUGACCAGAGUUAAUAUGAUUAAAGAAUAUUAAUAUGAUUAGAGAAAAAAGCUAUGUUCUGCUUAUAAGCCAAUAGCUAAAACAUGGACUAAAACUAUAAAAUGGUCUCAGCAGCCACUUUUAUU